rnacentral:rRNA from 1 species
GGAGUUAGCCGGUGCUUCUUCUGUGAGUGAUGUCCUUCCUGCCGGUUAUUGACCCGCAGGCCUUCUUCCUCACUGAAAGUGCUUUACAACCCGAAGGCCUUCUUCACACACGCGGCAUGGCUGGAUCAGGGUUGCCCCCAUUGUCCAAUAUUCCCCACUGCUGCCUCCCGUAGGAGUCUGGGCCGUGUCUCAGUCCCAGUGUGGCUGAUCAUCCUCUCAGACCAGCUACGGAUCGUCGCCUUGGUGAGCCGUUACCUCACCAACCAGCUAAUCCGACAUAGGCUCAUCCGAUAGCGCGAGGCCCGAAGGUCCCCCGCUUUCCCCCGUAGGGCGUAUGCGGUAUUAGCCUGGGUUUCCCCCAGGUUAUCCCCCCGACUACCGGGGCCAGAUUCCUAUGCAUUACUCACCCGUCCGCCGCUCGCCACCAGGGAGCAAGCUCCCCGUGCUGCCGCUCGACUUGCAUGUGUUAGGCCUGCCGCCAGCGUUCAAUCUGAGCCAGGAUCAAACUCUGA